CCAAUAGCGUAUAUUAAAGUUGUUGCAGUUAAAAAGCUCGUAGUUGAAUUUCGGGAUUUGUCAGUUGGUCGGGCUUAACUGUCCGUAUUGACUCGAUGGAUUCUUACCUUCUGAAUAACCAGCAUGCUAUUAAUUUAGUGCGUUGGGGAAGCAGAUCUAUUACCUUGAAAAAAUUAGAGUGCUUAAAGCGAGCUAGUGCUUGAAUAGAUUAGCAUGGAAUAAUAAAAUAGGACGGCAUGGUUCUAUUUUGUUGGUUUCUAGGAUCACCGUAAUGAUUAAUAGGGAUAGUUGUGGGCAGUAGUAUUCAAUUGUCAGCGGUGAAAUUCUUGGAUUUAUUGAAGACUAACUUCUGCGAAAGCAUUUGCCAAGGAUGUUUUCAUUAAUCAAGAACGAAAGUUAGGGGAUCGAAGACGAUCAGAUACCGUCGUAGUCUUAACCAUAAACUAUGCCGACUAGGAAUCGGACGAUGUUAAUUUUAUAAUGACUCGUUCGGCACCUUACG
rnacentral:rRNA from 1 species